rnacentral:rRNA from 1 species
AUUGAACGCUGGCGGCAGGCUUAACACAUGCAAGUCGAGCGGAGAUGAGGUGCUUGCACCUUAUCUUAGCGGCGGACGGGUGAGUAAUGCUUAGGAAUCUGCCUAUUAGGGGGGGACAACAUUCCGAAAGGAAUGCUAAUACCGCAUACGCCCUACGGGGGAAAGCAGGGGAUCUUCGGACCUCGCGCUAAUAGAUGAGCCUAAGUCGGAUUAGCUAGUUGGUGGGGUAAAGGCCUACCAAGGCGACGAUCUGUAGCGGGUCUGAGAGGAUGAUCCGCCACACUGGGACUGAGACACGGCCCAGACUCCUACGGGAGGCAGCAGUGGGGAAUAUUGGACAAUGGGCGGAAGCCUGAUCCAGCCAUGCCGCGUGUGUGAGGAAGGCCUUUUGGUUGUAAAGCACUUUAAGCGAGGAGGAGGCUACCUGGAUUAAUACUCUAGGAUAGUGGACGUUACUCGCAGAAUAAGCACCGGCUAACUCUGUGCCAGCCGCCGCCGUAAUAC